rnacentral:rRNA from 1 species
GACGAACGCUGGCGGCGUGCUUAACACAUGCAAGUCGAGCGGUAAGGCCCUUUCGGGGGUACACGAGCGGCGAACGGGUGAGUAACACGUGGGUGACCUGCCCUUAGCUCUGGGAUAAGCCUGGGAAACUGGGUCUAAUACCGGAUAUGACUCCAUGACGCAUGUUGUGGGGUGGAAAGCCUUGUGCGGCUAGGGAUGGGCCUGCGGCCUAUCAGCUUGUUGGUGGGGUGAUGGCCUACCAAGGCGACGACGGUAGCCGGCCUGAGAGGGCGACCGGCCACACUGGGACUGAGACACGGCCCAGACUCCUACGGGAGGCAGCAGUGGGGAAUCUUGCGCAAUGGGCGAAAGCCUGACGCAGCGACGCCGCGUGGGGA